UACAGAGGGGGCAAGCGUUAUUCGGAAUUAUUGGGCGUAAAGGGCGCGUAGGCGGCUUUGCAAGUGACGGGUGAAAUCCCUCGGCUUAACCGAGGAACUGCCUGUCAGACUGGCAGGCUCGAGUUCGGGAGAGGAUGGUGGAAUUCCCAGUGUAGAGGUGAAAUUCGUAGAUAUUGGGAAGAACACCGAUGGCGAAGGCAGCCAUCUGGACCGACACUGACGCUGAGGCGCGAAAGCGUGGGGAGCAAACAGG
rnacentral:rRNA from 1 species